rnacentral:lncRNA from 1 species
CUAGAUCUUCAGACAGCAGGUACUGGAGCUACUGCAGUUUAUGAAGGGAACAGGUAGCCUGAGGCCUUGAAUUUCAACAGGCAAGAGAAAGUCUACUGGACCUCAGUCUGGUCUAUGUUUCUGAAUAAAAAGCAACACUAAAGAAAUGCUGCUGUUAAGAGGAAAAAGCUGGAAAGGUAGAUACAGUACCUGAAAUAAGAAACUGUAUCUGCAUCAUAAUCACUGUAUUUCUCUUGAGGAAGGGAUACUGUUGACCCUCAGCACUGGGAAUGUUCAGCUGCUGCAACUACAAGCAGGCAGAAGUUGUGUGCAUCUUAGAACCGAAGUGUUGGCUACCUCAGGCUUCAAGGGACUUGCCAAUAUGAGGAAGACACUAGGUGCCUACAAAUGUUGCCUUUUUUAUUUCUCUUAUUCUUUCCCUUUUUGUCCAAAGCAUUCCUGUUUGAACCUUCCUUUCUCUGCUAGGGACCUCUUUCUUGUUACUGGAG